rnacentral:rRNA from 1 species
GAUGAACGCUGGCGGCGUGCCUAAUACAUGCAAGUCGAGCGAACGGACGAGAAGCUUGCUUCUCUGAUGUUAGCGGCGGACGGGUGAGUAACACGUGGAUAACCUACCUAUAAGACUGGGAUAACUUCGGGAAACCGGAGCUAAUACCGGAUAAUAUUUUGAACCUCAUGGUUCAAAAGUAAAAGACGGUCUUGCUGUCACUUAUAGAUGGAUCCGCGCUGCAUUAGCUAGUUGGUAAGGUAACGGCUUACCAAGGCAACGAUGCAUAGCCGACCUGAGAGGGUGAUCGGCCACACUGGAACUGGGACGCGGUCCAGACUCCUACGGGAGGCAGCAGUAGGGAAUCUUCCGCAAUGGGCGAAAGCCUGACGGAGCAACGCCGCGUGAGUGAUGAAGGUCUUCGGAUCGUAAAACUCUGUUAUUAGGGAAGAACAUAUGUGUAAGUAACUGUGCACAUCUUGACGGUACCUAAUCAGAAAGCCACGGCUAACUACGUG